UCAAGUUGUCCUUAGCCUCAAAUUAAUUCACUUCAAAUGCUUUGCACUUCUUAAAUUAUAGCUAUGGCUCUUUUCUUUUAUGAUCUGCAACCAAAACUAACUGAAUCAUUCUUUCCUCCUCUUUUCAAAGUCUGAAAUGGGACAAUAUCCGAGAGCAGCUGAGUCAGUUUGCAGCCAUCGCCAAUGCCUCCAAAGGCGGCCGGAUUGGAAUCGAGGAGUUUGCCAACUACUUGAAGCUUCCUGUCUCUGAGGUCCUGGGGGAGCUGUUUGCCCUUUUCGACAGAAAUGGAGAUGGUUCUAUAGACUUCAGAGAAUAUGUGAUUGGCUUGUCUGUUCUCUGCAAUCCUGCAAAUACAGAACAGACUAUUCAAAUGGCAUUUCAGCUCUUUGACAUUGAUGAAGAUGGUAUCAUAUCAGAAGAUGAAUUCGCCUUAAUUAUCCGUUCAUCGCUUGGACUUCCUGAUCUUGACGUUUCUAACCUUUUCAAGGAAAUAGAUGCCGACAAGACAAACAAGCUUUCCUAUGGUAAGUUCAAUCUGUCAUG